AUUGGUCAUUGUUCUACAGGAAGAUCC
rnacentral:misc_RNA from 1 species